UGUUAAAAAUUUCAUCCAUUUGUAUCGUUAAAAACUAAUGUGGUUGAUAAAAUAAACAAAUAGUGACAUGUGACGUGUCAUGUGUACUUUAUGCUGACAUAUAUAGUCAAUUUUUAACAGUAAAAAUAGAUAAAACUUUUAAUA
rfam:Gossypium raimondii Chr04_contig_342, whole genome shotgun sequence.